rnacentral:rRNA from 1 species
GAUGAACGCUGGCGGCGUGCCUAAUACAUGCAAGUCGAGCGAACGGACGAGAAGCUUGCUUCUCUGAUGUUAGCGGCGGACGGGUGAGUAACACGUGGAUAACCUACCUAUAAGACUGGGAUAACUUCGGGAAACCGGAGCUAAUACCGGAUAAUAUUUUGAACCGCAUGGUUCAAAAGUGAAAGACGGUCUUGCUGUCACUUAUAGAUGGAUCCGCGCUGCAUUAGCUAGUUGGUAAGGUAACGGCUUACCAAGGCAACGAUGCAUAGCCGACCUGAGAGGGUGAUCGGCCACACUGGAACUGAGACACGGUCCAGACUCCUACGGGAGGCAGCAGUAGGGAAUCUUCCGCAAAGGGCGAAAGCCUGACGGAGCAACGCCGCGUGAGUGAUGAGGGUCUUCGGAUCGUAAAACUCUGUUAUUAGGGAAGAACAUAUGUGUAAGUAACUGUGCACAUCUUGACGGUACCUAAUCAGAAAGCCACGGCUAACUACGUG